rnacentral:SRP_RNA from 1 species
GGCCCAGUCCCAUGCGGCGGAAAUCCGCGAACCUUGUCAGGUCCGGAAGGAAGCAGCAAUAAACGGAAACUUCCGGGUGCCAUGGGAGCGCUGGGUCUCC